UACGUAGGGGCUAGCGUUAUCCGGAAUUACUGGGCGUAAAGGGUGCGUAGGUGGUUUCUUAAGUCAGAGGUGAAAGGCUACGGCUCAACCGUAGUAAGCCUUUGAAACUGGGAAACUUGAGUGCAGGAGAGGAGAGUGGAAUUCCUAGUGUAGCGGUGAAAUGCGUAGAUAUAUGGAGGAACACCAGUGGCGAAGGCGACUCUCUGGUCUGUAACUGACGCUGAGGCUCGAAAGCGUGGGGAGCAAACAGGAUUAGAUACCCCGGUAGUCCCUGAG
rnacentral:rRNA from 1 species